rnacentral:rRNA from 1 species
ACAGAGAGUAGCUUGCUACUUUGCUGACGAGCGGCGGACGGGUGAGUAAUGCUUGGGAACUUGCCUUUGGGUGGGGGAUAACCACGGGAAACUGUGGCUAAUACCGCAUAAUGUCUACGGACCAAAGUGUGGGAUCUUCGGACCACACGCCCAGAGAUAGGCCCAAGUGAGAUUAGCUAGUUGGUGAGGUAAUGGCUCACCAAGGCAACGAUCUCUAGCUGUUCUGAGAGGAUGAUCAGCCACACUGGGACUGAGACACGGCCCAGACUCCUACGGGAGGCAGCAGUGGGGAAUAUUGCACAAUGGGCGCAAGCCUGAUGCAGCCAUGCCGCGUGUGUGAAGAAGGCCUUCGGGUUGUAAAGCACUUUCAGUGGUGAGGAAGGGUGUGUUGUUAAUAGCAGCAUACAUUGACGUUAGCCACAGAAGAAGCACCGGCUAACUCCGUGCCAGCAGCCGCGGUAAUACGGAGGGUGCGAGCGUUAAUCGGAAUUACUGGGCGUAAAGCGUACGUAGGCGGCCUGUUAAGCAAGAUGUGAAAUCCCCGGGCUCAACCUGGGAAUGGCAUUUUGAACUGGCAUGCUCGAGUUCUGAAGAGGGUGGUAGAAUUUCCAGUGUAGCGGUGAAAUGCGUAGAUAUUGGAAGGAAUACCGGUGGGCGAAAGCCGGCCACCUGGUCAGAACUGACGCUGAGGUACGAAGCGUGGGGGAGCAAACAGAUUAGAUACCCUGGGUAGUCCACGCCGUA